GAUGAACGCUGGCGGCGUGCCUAAUACAUGCAAGUCGAGCGAACAGACGAGGAGCUUGCUCCUCUGACGUUAGCGGCGGACGGGUGAGUAACACGUGGAUAACCUACCUAUAAGACUGGGAUAACUUCGGGAAACCGGAGCUAAUACCGGAUAAUAUAUUGAACCGCAUGGUUCAAUAGUGAAAGACGGUUUUGCUGUCACUUAUAGAUGGAUCCGCGCCGCAUUAGCUAGUUGGUAAGGUAACGGCUUACCAAGGCAACGAUGCGUAGCCGACCUGAGAGGGGGAUUGGCCAAACUUGAACUGAGACACGGUCCAGACUCCUACGGGAGGCAGCAGUAGGGAAUCUUCCGCAAUGGGCGAAAGCUUGACGGAGCAACGCCGCGUGAGUGAUGAAGGUCUUCGGAUCGUAAAACUCUGUUAUUAGGGAAGAACAAAUGUGUAAGUAACUAUGCACGUCUUGACGGUACCUAAUCAGAAAGCCACGGCUAACUACGUG
rnacentral:rRNA from 1 species